rnacentral:piRNA from 1 species
UAGAUAGACCUGCUCUUUAUUCUAGGCCU